rnacentral:rRNA from 1 species
UACUGCUAUCGGGGUCCGACUAAGCCAUGCGAGUUGAAUGUCCGAAAGGGCAUAGCGCACUGCUCAGUAACACGUGGACAACCUGCCCUGAGGACUGGAAUAAUCCCGGGAAACUGGGGGUAAUUCCAGAUAUGUCAGAACUCCUGGAAUGGGUUCUGGCAGAAAGGCUCCGGCGCCUCAGGAUGGGUCUGCGGCCUAUCAGGGUAGUAGUGGGUGUAACGUACCUACUAGCCUACGACGGGUACGGGUUGUGAGAGCAAGAGCCCGGAGAUGGAUUCUGAGACAUGAAUCCAGGCCCUACGGGGUGCAGCAGGCGCGAAAACUUUACAAUGCGGGCAACCGCGAUAAGGGGACCUCGAGUGCUGGGUUACAAACCUGGCUGUUGGGCUGCCUAAAAAGCAGUCUAUAGCAAGGGCCGGGCAAGACCGGUGCCAGCCGCCGCGGUAACACCGGCGGCUCGAGUGGUAACCGCUAUUAUUGGGUCUAAAGGGUCUGUAGCCGGCCGACUAAGUCUCUUGGGAAAUCUGGCAUCUCAAGUGUCAGGCUGCCAGGGGAUACUGGUCGGCUUGGGACCGGGAGAGGUGAGAGGUACCUCGGGGGUAGGGGUGAAAUCUUGUAAUCCUCGA